rnacentral:lncRNA from 1 species
UGGUAUUCUCCGUAGAAAUGAUCUUGAAAAUCAAUCAGAUGAAACUCUCUGGGUUGAAAUCCGUGCGAAAGGUCAAACAUUCUUACUCUGCAAUACCUAUCGACCUCCCGAAUCGAACGACGGUCAUUAUUGGACACGCUUAAAUCAUGCAAUAGGAUUGGCUUAUCAAUUCAAUGAAAAUAUUGUAAUUACGGGUGAUUUGAACAGUGAUUUAUUCAAGGCGCAAAACAACAAAUUAAUUGAAAUCUUAAAUAUAUUUAAUUUGCGAAAUGUUAUUGAUAAACCAACUCGAGUGACAAAUCACAGUAGCACACUACUUGAUCCAAUUAUUUUAAGUGACACUUUGUCGUACUUUAUCUCAGAUGUUUUACCAACGCCUUCUAAUAUAAGUGACCACGA